CUGCACGGCUGCAACAAUCCAAGGAGUUUCCUCUUGAUUAGUCAUCAUCAUCUGGUAAUCCUUCCAUGCAGCACGAGUAAGUUGUAUGGCUGCGGGAGUGCGCAGGAAAAUACAACACAAAGGAAAUCGAAAAAUGCUAGCAUAAUGUCGAGAUAAGUUUGAGCAUGAAUCGAUUAUCGUUAUGAAAGUGGCAUGUCGAUAGAGGGAGGAUCAGGCUGCAUGCACAACUUCCAUCGUCUCCACCCCUUCGUCAAUUUUACGUAACGCAAUUAUGUCAAAAGGUACCUGCGUUUGACAUGAAAACUAUAAAAGACGCGCUGUUUGUAUUUAUAUUGUUAGAUAACCUCACUACCAUGGCUUGUGCAAGAAGCGAGAGGAUUUGAUGAGUUCGAUGAUGAUCGAGACAUGUAUAGACCACUUCUAUGCUAUAUACACUGAGAUAAGUGUUUUAAAGCUGUUCAUGGACAAGAAAUAUGCACUAUUUAGCACUAAAUUGUAUGCUGAUUGAUCCUUUUCAAGAUUAUUCUAAUUUUCUGCUUCAUUAUAAUAUUGCAUUAUUGAAUGAGUAAGGUACAUCAACUGCUACAAUUAGAGAAAUUUUUUACUGAAUUACAUGAAUGGAGAAAAUUUUAAGCUAACAAGUGAUUUUGAUCAAAUCUAAUGAAAAUCUC